rnacentral:rRNA from 1 species
AAUAGUUUUUUAAAUGGAAACUGGGAUGAAAGAAGUGAUGAAAUUUAGGCUGUCUUGAAUUAAAUUGUUAAAAUUAUUAGUUGAGUAAAAAUGCUUAGAUAUAAACAUGGGACGAGAAGACCCUAUAGAAUUUUAUAUAAAUUUAUUAAAAUUGAUUAAUUAAGGAAAUAAUAAUAAAAUUUAUAUUUUGUUGGGAGGAUGAUUAAAUUAAAAAAACUUUAAUAAGGUAAAAAACAUUGGUUUAUGGUUAGUAAAAAAAUGAGUGAUUAUUAAAAUUAAAUAGAAUUAAUUACCUUAGGGAUAACAGCAUAAUAUCUUUAGAGAGAUCUUAUUAAUAAAGAUGUUUGU